UACGUAGGGUGCAAGCGUUGUCCGGAAUUAUUGGGCGUAAAGAGCUCGUAGGCGGUCUGUUACGUCGGCUGUGAAAACCUGGGGCUCAACCCCGAGCCUGCAGUCGAUACGGGCAGACUAGAGUGCUGUAGGGGAGACUGGAAUUCCUGGUGUAGCGGUGAAAUGCGCAGAUAUCAGGAGGAACACCGGUGGCGAAGGCGGGUCUCUGGGCAGUAACUGACGCUGAGGAGCGAAAGCGUGGGGGGCGAACAGG
rnacentral:rRNA from 1 species